AUUGAACGCUGGCGGCAGGCCUAACACAUGCAAGUCGAGCGAGCGACGGACGGGUGAGUAAUGUCUAGGAAACUGCCUGAUGGCGGGGGAUAACUACUGGAAACGGUAGCUAAUCCCGCAUACCAUCCGAUUUGCCCAGAUGGGAUUAGCUAGUAGGUGGGGUAAUGGCCCACCUAGUCGACGAUCCCUAGCUGGUCUGGGAGGAUGAACAGCCACACUGGAACUGAGACACGGUCCAGACUCCUACGGGAGGCAGCAGUGGGGAAUAUUGGACAAUGGGCGAAAGCCUGACGCAGCCAUGCCGCGUGUGUGAAGAAGGCCUUCGGGUUGUAAAGCACUUUCAGCGGGGAGGCGGUACCCGCAGAAGAAGCACCGGCUAACUACGUGCCAGCAGCCGCGGUAAUAC
rnacentral:rRNA from 1 species